AUACCUUUCUCGGCCUUUUGGCUAAGAUUAAGUGUAGCAUUUAUUCUUAUCAGUUUAAUAUUUGAUAUAUGAGCCAUUGACUCACACAAUGUUAACUUAAAAAUUAAGGGGAAGAGUCCUUAAGGUAGCUUGCUGCCUGGGCUCUUGCGUGUCGCCCAUGCGUUGCACUGCUGCAUGGGCCUGGCGCACCCCAC